rnacentral:rRNA from 1 species
AAACCGACACAGGUGGUCAGGUAGAGAAUACCAAGGCGCUUGAGAGAACUCGGGUGAAGGAACUAGGCAAAAUGGUGCCGUAACUUCGGGAGAAGGCACGCUGAUGGUAGGUGAAGUGACUUGCUCACGGAGCUGAAAUCAGUCGAAGAUACCAGCUGGCUGCAACUGUUUAUUAAAAACACAGCACUGUGCAAACACGAAAGUGGACGUAUACGGUGUGACGCCUGCCCGGUGCCGGAAGGUUAAUUGAUGGGG